GCCUUCGUGGUGUAGUGGUCAGCACGCUCGGCGCGUAUUCGAGAGGUCCAUAGUUCGAAUCCCGGCGAGGGCA
rnacentral:tRNA from 1 species